rnacentral:rRNA from 1 species
GAGGAAUAUUGGUCAAUGGACGCAAGUCUGAACCAGCCAUGCCGCGUGCAGGAUGACGGCUCUAUGAGUUGUAAACUGCUUUUGUACGAGGGUAAACUCACCUACGUGUAGGUGACUGAAAGUAUCGUACGAAUAAGGAUCGGCUAACUCCGUGCCAGCAGCCGCGGUAAUACGGAGGAUUCAAGCGUUAUCCGGAUUUAUUGGGUUUAAAGGGUGCGUAGGCGGUUAGAUAAGUUAGAGGUGAAAUCCCGGGGCUUAACUCCGAAAUUGCCUCUAAUACUGUUUGACUAGAGAGUAGUUGCGGUAGGCGGAAUGUAUGGUGUAGCGGUGAAAUGCUUAGAGAUCAUACAGAACACCGAUUGCGAAGGCAGCUUACCAAACUAUAUCUGACGUUGAGGCACGAAAGCGUGGGGAGCAAAC